UACCAGCACCCCGAGUGGUCGGGACGUUUUAUUGGGCCUAAAGCAUCCGUAGCCGGUUCUACAAGUCUUCCGUUAAAUCCACCUCGCUCAACAGAUGGGCUGCGGAAGAUACUAUGGAGCUAGGAGGCGGGAGAGGCAAGCGGUACUCGAUGGGUAGGGGUAAAAUCCGUUGAUCCAUUGAAGACCACCAGUGGCGAAGGCGGCUUGCCAGAACGCGCUCGACGGUGAGGGAUGAAAGCUGGGGGAGCAAACCGGG
rnacentral:rRNA from 1 species